UAUACGGAUUUGAUCAGUCAGGAGUUGCACAACGCCAACAUAAGGACUACAGGAGGCAACAAAAAAACAAAGCCCAAGAGAUUGAAAUGGAAGAUUAUCCCAUCCAAGCAGGAGAACCACUCAUUCUUGCAGAGCAGAGUUCUGUUUUCAGGGAACACCAUUCUUAAUUUGUUCCGUCAACAACAGCAGCAGGUUUCGAUGAAGGAAAGCUCAUUCUUUUGCAUGAUAAUGAAACAAUCUGUAUUUUUGUCAGUCCAGUGGCUGCUUAUGCUUAGAAACAGUGGUUUCGUGUAG
rnacentral:lncRNA from 1 species